AGAGGAGAGACGUUUCCCAUCCAAAGGAGAAAAACAAUCCUCUCCUAAUGAAUAAUGCUGGGAUUGAGGAAGAGGGAGUGAUGGUCUCUCUCUCUCUCUCUGUCUCUCGCUCGCUCGCUCACUCUUUUGCUCU
rnacentral:snoRNA from 1 species